rnacentral:rRNA from 1 species
UGAAUUUUUUUUCUUAUUAAUUUGUUUUUAAUAUUAUCAAUAUGUGAAAAAUAAUUUAUUUUUUAGUAAGUUUUAGUGAAAUUAAAAAAAAGAUUAAAGUGAAGAGUACUGUAAAGGAGAGAAGAUUAUAAUUUUAUAGAAGAGAUAAAGUAAUAAUAAAUAUGUGUACCUUGGGUAUAAGGGGGAAUUUAUAUAUUUUAGUAAAUAUUAAAGAUCUCGAAAUAAAAAUAGUUAAUAUUGUAUAAGAGUUUUUGUAGUAUAAAAAUUUUUAAUAUAAUAUUAAAGGUGAAAUGUUAGGCGAGUUUUAUAAUAUCUAGUUUUCUGGGAAGUAAAUAUAAUUUAGUUCUUACAGUGAUAUUAUGUAAGAUUAAAAAGUAGAAGGGGUAAGCUUUUUACUUUAUAGUUUAAAAUAGUUAAAUGAGUUUGUUUAUUAAUUAAUCUAAGCUUAAAAGUAGCUAUGUUUGUAAGGUGUUUUAAUGUAAAGUUAUUGAGGUUGAGAUUAUAUAACUUUUUAAAAGUAUUGGAAAUUUAUUUUGAAUGUUAUAAAAUGAGUUAGAAUGAUUUUAUUAGUAGAAACUAGUUGGUAUUAGUAAAGGAGAUAUAACAAAUAGUAUAUAUAUAUAAGUAUAUAAAGGAGUAUUUUAAAGGAACUUGGCAAAUAAUAUUCUUUGCCUGUUUAUCAAAAACAUGUCUGUUUGGAGAUAUAAAAAGUCUGGCCUGCCCACUGAUAUUUAAGUUUAAGGGCCGCGGUAUUAUGACCGUGCAAAGGUAGCAUAAUCAUUAGGUUUUUAAAUGGAAUCUUGUAUGAAUGGUUGAACAAAAGAAAAGCUGUCUUUAAAAUAAUAUUUGAAUUUAACUUUUAAGUGAGAAGGCUUAAAUAUUCUAGAGGGACGAUAAGACCCUAUAAAGCUUUAUAUUAUAGUUAUAUUUAAUUAAAUUUGGUUAAUAAAAGUUUAAUUUAAUUAUUAUGUUAUGUUGGGGAGAUAUUAGUAAAAUUUUAGAUAACUGCUAGAAAAAGAGACAAAUAUAAGUGAUUAAAAUAAUAGGAGAUCCUAAGUAUAGAUUAAAAGAUUAAGUUACUUUAGGGAUAACAGUGUAAUUUUUUUUGAGAGUUCAUAUCGAAAAAAAAGUUUGCAACCUCGAUGUUGAAUUAAGAUAUCUUUAUAAUGUAGAUGUUAUAUUAGAAGGUCUGUUCGACCUAAA